UCGCCUGUUUAUCAAAAACAUCUUUUCUUGUUAGUUUUUGAAGUAUGGCCUGCCCACUGACAUUUAUUUGUUGAAGGGCCGCGGUAUUUUGACCGUGCAAAGGUAGCAUAAUCAUUAGUUCUUUAAUUGUGAUCUGGUAUGAAUGGCUUGACGAGAUAUAAUCUGUCUUAGGAGCAUUAGUUUUAUUGAAUUUGGUUUUUGAGUUAAAAUUCUUAAAUGUUUUUAUGGGACGAGAAGACCCUAUAGAGUUUGACAGUUUUCUUAUUUAUUUGUUGUUUGUUUGGUUUUGUUGAGUGAUAAAAUUGUUUUGUUGGGGUGAUGAGAGGAAAUUACUUAACUCCUCUUUGUUUGUAUAUAUUUAUUUAUAUUUCUUUUGAUCCAUUUAUUUUGAUUAUAAGAUUAAAUUACCUUAGGGAUAACAGCGUAAA
rnacentral:rRNA from 1 species